rnacentral:lncRNA from 1 species
UAUAGCACAUAAAUGCAUGUUUAUGCACAUAUACACAUGUGUGCGUGUCCCUGGAGUGUGCCUAUAUGUUUAUGUAUGCGCAUGUACACACGUGUGCGCGUCCCUGGAGUGUGUCUAUAUGCUUAUGUAUGCGCAUGUACACACGUGUGCGUGUCCAUAGAGUGUAUCUAUAUGGUCUUGCACCUUGGUCACUUCACUUAACAACACACAUGUGAUGUGAUUCUUCUUCAAAUCAUUGCCAGCACUGAUUUACUGCCCUGCUUCCCAGCUGUGGGCACAGCCCCCUGGUGCAUUUUCCUUCCUCCUGGUCUCUGUGUGUGGGGGUGCAGCCUUUGUCCCAUCCCUUGGCCAUGAGUAAUAAUACACCCAGUAUGACCUUGUGCUGUUGGCACGGUACCCGGCAGUAGAUGGUGAGCCCUUGGGGGCAGGGGCUGCCUGUCUCUGCCCCCUGAACCUGUCUGGCAUGUGAAGGAGCUCGGGGCUUGUCUGUUACUGAUCAGAGGAAGGUGCCUGUGGCCUCCACACGUGUUCUCCGAGGGCUUAUCCUGGCUCGGAUACUCUUGGCUUCUUUGAUAAGGGAGGGGUGGGGCUGUCUUCCCGCUGCUGUGCCGCAAUCUUGAGGACUCUGAGAAAGGACUCGUAUUGGUGGGGAGACCUCCGUGGCCCCUGCUGCAGGUGCCCAUGGCACGCAUGUGAUGUCCGCCCUGGAGGCUGUGGAAACUCCGUGGGGCCAGAGCAGAGCUUCACAGGCUUCUGAUGGUGAUGGAGGUGAGGGCUGUGGCGAUGAAGGCAGGAGCUCACAUUGGUGGCACAUGUUCUGUGCCAGGCGCUCUUCUGAGCCCUGCACAUGGAUGGACCCAUUGAUUCUGCCCGAGGACUCCAUGAAGGAGGUGUUGGUGCCAUUUACAGACGAGAACAGUGGGCACUGAGCUGACACUCUGUGCACCUGCCGCGCCUCUUCCUCCCGCUUUCCAGCCUCACGCCUGCUCUGAAGUGACAACUGGAAUACGGGUGACAACGAAACAAACCACGCAUGUGCCAGGCUUCCUUAGGGACUUUACGCGUGCCCCAUGGCAGUGCUGCGCCUUCCCAUUCACAGAUGAGACCAGCAAGGCCAGCAGGGAGGAUGAGGGGCUGAGGCUGCACAGCUGGAAGGGGUGGCUGAGCAAGGCAGGAUUUGAACUCAGCUCCAAGCCAGAGCACCUGAGCAGCAGAAGGUCCAGGACAAGCCGGAAAGAGGGAAGAGCUCCCUGCAGGCACGAGGAGCAGUCCCAGAGGGGGCGUCUGGCUGGGCAGCUCUGCCGAGUGCCCUUGGGACUGUGGGGUUUGCGUGGGACUGGCAGACAAUACCCCAGAAGGGCCUCUGCCGCCACAUGGAUCUGUGUGUUCCGAGAGUCUGUGGUGAGCGGGAACGAGAGUGACCCAGUGUCGCCAAGGGACUUGCUGUGCUCAGCAGCCAGGGUGGCAGUAGAAUGCUUCUGGAAGAGUCCUUCCUGCUCAUGA